rnacentral:rRNA from 1 species
UACGUAGGGGGCUAGCGUUGUCCGGAUUUAUUGGGCGUAAAGAGCGUGUAGGCGGCCAGGUAGGUCUGCUGUGAAAACUCGAGGCUUAACCUCGAGAUGUCAUCGGAAACCAUUUGGCUAGAGUCCGGAAGAGGAAAGUGGAAUUCCUGGUGCAGCGGUGAAAUGCGCAGAUAUCAGGAAGAACACCAAUGGCGAAAGCAGCUUUCUGGGACGGUACUGACGCUGAGACGCGAAAGCGUGGGGAGCGAACAGG